rnacentral:rRNA from 1 species
AACGCUGGCGGUAGGCCUAACACAUGCAAGUCGAACGGCAGCACAGUAAGAGCUUGCUCUUACGGGUGGCGAGUGGCGGACGGGUGAGGAAUACAUCGGAAUCUACUUUUUCGUGGGGGAUAACGUAGGGAAACUUACGCUAAUACCGCAUACGACCUACGGGUGAAAGCAGGGGAUCUUCGGACCUUGCGCGAUUGAAUGAGCCGAUGUCGGAUUAGCUAGUUGGCGGGGUAAAGGCCCACCAAGGCGACGAUCCGUAGCUGGUCUGAGAGGAUGAUCAGCCACACUGGAACUGAGACACGGUCCAGACUCCUACGGGAGGCAGCAGUGGGGAAUAUUGGACAAUGGGCGCAAGCCUGAUCCAGCCAUACCGCGUGGGUGAAGAAGGCCUUCGGGUUGUAAAGCCCCUUUGUUGGGAAAGAAAAGCAGCAGGUUAAUACCCCGCUGUUCUGACGGUACCCAAAGAAUAAGCACCGGCUAACUUCGUG